rnacentral:tRNA from 1 species
GCCCAAAUGGUGGAACUGGUAUACACGCACGACUCAAAAUCGUGUGGCGCAAGCCAUGAGAGUUCGAAUCUCUCUUUGGGCACCC